rnacentral:tRNA from 1 species
GUUUUAAUAGUUUAAAUAAAACAAUGAUUUUGUAAAUCAUAAAUAGGAAUCCCUUUAAAACU